rnacentral:rRNA from 1 species
AUUGAACGCUGGCGGCAGGCCUAACACAUGCAAGUCGAACGAGUGGCGGACGGGUGAGUAAUGUCUGGGAAACUGCCUGAUGGAGGGGGAUAACUACUGGAAACGGUAGCUAAUACCGCAUACCAUCGGAUGUGCCCAGAUGGGAUUAGCUAGUAGGUGGUGUAAAGGCUCACCUAGGCGACGAUCCCUAGCUGGUCUGUGAGGAUGACAAGAGACCCUGGAACUGAGACACGGUCCAGACUCCUACGGGAGGCAGCAGUGGGGAAUAUUGGAGAAUGGGCACAAGUCUGAUGCAGCCAUGCCGCGUGGAUGAAAAAGGCAUGCGGGUUGUAAAGUACUUUCAGCGGGGAGGCGUUAACCACAGAAGAAGCACCGGCUAACUCCGUGCCAGCCGCCGCGGAAAUAC